ensembl:lncRNA
AUAUGCUGAUUUGCUGCUCAAAAUGCUUUAUUUCUAUACAAAAUCAUGAUGUUGAAUUAUAAUGGAUAUAAUAAUCCUGUCCACAGUUUACCUGCUGAUGGUCAAGGUUCUGGUUCCUCUGGUGGUUUUGGUCGGUUGUUGUGUUUGUCUGUGGUCAUACAGAAACCUAAUAAGAGGAUUUCCAGAAGAAGCGUUCGGCUUUCUGCACGUAAAAGCACUGGACCUGGAUGAAGAUCUUUAUGAAGCGAGUGAAAAGAUCCAUACUCUGAUGAUAGAGGACUGUAAAUGGUGUGACGUCGAGAUUUUAGAUGUGCGACCCAUCACAACAGAGAAACCAUGGCUCACGGGCGCAGAGGAUCAGAGUUGUUCAUUCAUUACUCCUGAAGUCACACCACCAUCCUGCCAUCUUACCACAGAUCUCACAAACUUCACUUACGUGUCCUGUGUGCAGCAAGAUCUGCCUUCAGAGGAGCUGCAGACAGAAGCCACAAAACAGGAGUCGGAGAUCUCUGGCUUUUCGAGUGACUACGUCACUUCCGUAGGCACAUAAUUCCUGAAAACGCAGUGUUGUGGUUUCAUACACACCAAAGCAAGCAAGCCAGCAAAGGCGAUCUUAUCACAGAGAUGUUCAGCAAGAUCACAACAUCCUCAUGUCACCAGCGUGUUUGUCAGGGCCCUGCUUCCUUCUGCAAAACAGCUUUUAAAGACGAGAAAUGUUGUGAAAUGCAACUGCAGUAUUUGGUGCUUGAGAUUUUGCAAUAUCUGUCAGGUACUUUAUCUUGGUUUUGCAUGUUAUGCUAGACUUAUCUGGGCAAAAACAUGCAAAAUGUUCUCUCUCAAGGGUAAGACAUGUUCUAGAUGAGAUAUCUCUAUUAUUCAUAUGCUUUACGGGAAACACUUUGCAUUUCAUAUCAUGAACAAUAAACAAUUUAGAACUU